rnacentral:rRNA from 1 species
AUUGAACGCUGGCGGCAGGCCUAACACAUGCAAGUCGAACGAGUGGCGGACGGGUGACCAAUGUCUGGGACACUGCCUGAUGGAGGGGGAUAACUACUGGAAACGGUAGCUACUACCGCAUAACAUCAGAUGUGCCCAGAUGGGAUUAGCUAGUGGGUGGGGUAACGACUCACCAAGGCGACGAUCCCUAGCUGGUCUGAGAGGAUGACCAGCCACACUGGAAAUGAGACACGGUCCAGACGCCUACGGGAGGCAGCAGGGGGGAAUAUUGCACAAUGGGCGCAAGCCUGAGGCAGCCAUGCCGCGUGUAUGAAGAAGGCCUUCGGGUUGUAAAGUACUUUCAGCGGGGAGGCGUUACCCGCAGAAGAAGCACCGGCUAACUCCGUGCCAGCAGCCGCGGUAAUAC